rnacentral:rRNA from 1 species
UGGGGAAUAUUGGACAAUGGGGGGACCCCUGAUCCAGCCAUGCCGCGUGUGUGAAGAAGGCCUUAUGGUUGUAAAGCUCUUUAAGCGAGGAGGAGGGUACUGGUAUUAAUACUACCAGGUACUGGACGUUACUCGCAGAAUAAGCACCGGCUAACUCUGUGCCAGCAGCCGCGGUAAUACAGAGGGUGCAAGCGUUAAUCGGAAUUACUGGGCGUAAAGCGCGCGUAGGUGGUUCGUUAAGUUGAAUGUGAAAGCCCCGGGCUCAAACUGGGGAAUGCAUCAUAAAGAGGCGAGCGAGAGUAGGGGAGAGGGUGGUGGAAAUUCCUGUGUAGCGGUGAAAUGCGUGGAUAGAGGAAGGAACACCAGUGGGGAAGGCGAACACCUGGGCGCAUACAGCCACUGUGGUGCGAAAGCGUGGGGAGCAAACAGG